rnacentral:rRNA from 1 species
AAAUUGAAGAGUUUGAUCAUGGCUCAGAUUGAACGCUGGCGGCAGGCCUAACACAUGCAAGUCGAACGGUAACAGGAAGAAGCUUGCUUCUUUGCUGACGAGUGGCGGACGGGUGAGUAAUGUCUGGGAAACUGCCUGAUGGAGGGGGAUAACUACUGGAAACGGUAGCUAAUACCGCAUAACGUCGCAAGACCAAAGAGGGGGACCUUCGGGCCUCUUGCCAUCGGAUGUGCCCAGAUGGGAUUAGCUAGUAGGUGGGGUAACGGCUCACCUAGGCGACGAUCCCUAGCUGGUCUGAGAGGAUGACCAGCCACACUGGAACUGAGACACGGUCCAGACUCCUACGGGAGGCAGCAGUGGGGAAUAUUGCACAAUGGGCGCAAGCCUGAUGCAGCCAUGCCGCGUGUAUGAAGAAGGCCUUCGGGUUGUAAAGUACUUUCAGCGGGGAGGAAGGGAGUAAAGUUAAUACCUUUGCUCAUUGACGUUACCCGCAGAAGAAGCACCGGCUAACUCCGUGCCAGCAGCCGCGGUAAUACGGAGGGUGCAAGCGUUAAUCGGAAUUACUGGGCGUAAAGCGCACGCAGGCGGUUUGUUAAGUCAGAUGUGAAAUCCCCGGGCUCAACCUGGGAACUGCAUCUGAUACUGGCAAGCUUGAGUCUCGUAGAGGGGGGGAGAAUUCCAGGUGUAGCGGUGACAUGCGUAGAGAUCUGGAGGAAUACCGGUGGCGAAGGCGGCCCCCUGGACGAAGACUGACGCUCAGGUGCGAAAGCGUGGGGAGCAAACAGGAUUAGAUACCCUGGUAGUCCACGCCGUAAACGAUGUCGACUUGGAGGUUGUGCCCUUGAGGCGUGGCUUCCGGAGCUAACGCGUUAAGUCGACCGCCUGGGGAGUACGGCCGCAAGGUUAAAACUCAAAUGAAUUGACGGGGGCCCGCACAAGCGGUGGAGCAUGUGGUUUAAUUCGAUGCAACGCGAAGAACCUUACCUGGUCUUGACAUCCACAGAACUUUCCAGAGAUGGAUUGGUGCCUUCGGGAACUGUGAGACAGGUGCUGCAUGGCUGUCGUCAGCUCGUGUUGUGAAAUGUUGGGUUAAGUCCCGCAACGAGCGCAACCCUUAUCCUUUGUUGCCAGCGGUCCGGCCGGGAACUCAAAGGAGACUGCCAGUGAUAAACUGGAGGAAGGUGGGGAUGACGUCAAGUCAUCAUGGCCCUUACGACCAGGGCUACACACGUGCUACAAUGGCGCAUACAAAGAGAAGCGACCUCGCGAGAGCAAGCGGACCUCAUAAAGUGCGUCGUAGUCCGGAUUGGAGUCUGCAACUCGACUCCAUGAAGUCGGAAUCGCUAGUAAUCGUGGAUCAGAAUGCCACGGUGAAUACGUUCCCGGGCCUUGUACACACCGCCCGUCACACCAUGGGAGUGGGUUGCAAAAGAAGUAGGUAGCUUAACCUUCGGGAGGGCGCUUACCACUUUGUGAUUCAUGACUGGGGUGAAGUCGUAACAAGGUAACCGUAGGGGAACCUGCGGUUGGAUCACCUCCUUA